GACGACGUGAGGCCACCGACGGGCUCGGAGUCGCACUCAUCGCCUUCUCAAUCGGCGCCGGUCCUCUUACUGCCAUUCUCAAUUCGAGUAAAAUUCUCUUUGAUUGCUAACUUACUCAUAUCGAUGAGCAGUCAAAUACUUAUAUAAAGUCUAUUUUGAGCAAGGAAAAAAAGAUACAGUUCUGUUCUUUGAAAAACAUUUGAUACCUUGCUAUGUCCCCGUGGAUCCCUAAGGAAGAGGGGCUCUUCCAGCAACCGGAGUGCCACCAAGAGUCGACAUCAUCGACGUCUCCAUUAGAAGCCGGAGAGUAUGAUCCAAGCAAACCGAGCUGCUAAAGAGACAGAGAGCUUAAGUGGAGAAGCGGAGGAGCAAAGUGUUGAGCGAGAUGAAGAGGAGGUGAGGCAUGAUAAACAAAGAACAAGAGCCAGAGAG